rnacentral:rRNA from 1 species
CCUACGGGUGGCAGCAGUGAGGAAUAUUGGUCAAUGGGCGGAAGCCUGAACCAGCCAAGUCGCGUGAGGGAAUAAGGCCCUACGGGUCGUAAACCUCUUUUGCCGGGGAGCAAGGGCGGGGACGUGUCCCGGCCCGGAGAGUACCCGGAGAAAAAGCAUCGGCUCACUACGUGCCAGCAGCCGCGGUAAUACGGAGGAUGCGCGCGGUAUCCGGAUUUAUUGGGUUUAAAGGGGGCGUAGGCGGGCUUUUAAGUCAGCGGUAAAAUUUCGGGGCUCAACCCCGACGAGCCGUUGAGACUGGCUUGCUAGAGUGGGCGAGAAGUAUGCGGAAUGCGUGGUGUAGCGGUGAAAUGCAUAGAUAUCACGCAGAACUCCGAUUGCGAAGGCAGCAUACCGGCGCCCAACUGACGCUCAGGCACGAAAGCGUGGGUAUCGAACAGGAUUAGAUACCCGAGUAGUC